AGCGAACGCUGGCGGCAGGCCUAACACAUGCAAGUCGAACGAACCUUUCGGGGUUAGUGGCGGACGGGUGAGUAACACGUGGGAACGUGCCUUUAGGUUCGGAAUAACUCAGGUAAACUUGUGCUAAUACCGAAUGUGCCCUUCGGGGGAAAGAUUAAUCGCCUUUAGAGCGGCCCGCGUCUGAUUAGCUAGUUGGUUGAGGUAAUGGCUCACCAAGGCGACGAUCAGUAGCUGGUCUGAGAGGAUGAUCAGCCACAUUGGGACUGAGACACGGCCCAAACUCCUACGGGAGGCAGCAGUGGGGAAUCUUGCGCAAUGGGCGAAAGCCUGACGCAGCCAUGCCGCGUGAAUGAUGAAGGUCUUAGGAUUGUAAAAUUCUUUCACCGGGGACGAUAAUGACGGUACCCGGAGAAGAAGCCCCGGCUAACUUCGUG
rnacentral:rRNA from 1 species